rnacentral:rRNA from 1 species
GUGAACGCUGGCGGUAGGCCUAACACAUGCAAGUCGCACGGCAGCACAGUAAGAGCUUGCUCUUACGGGUGGCGAGUGGCGGACGGGUGAGGAAUACAUCGGAAUCUACUUUUUCGUGGGGGAUAACGUAGGGAAACUUACGCUAAUACCGCAUACGACCUACGGGUGAAAGCAGGGGAUCUUCGGACCUUGCGCGAUUGAAUGAGCCGAUGUCGGAUUAGCUAGUUGGCGGGGUAAAGGCCCACCAAGGCGACGAUCCGUAGCUGGUCUGAGAGGAUGAUCAGCCACACUGGAACUGAGUCACGGUCCAGACUCCUACGGGAGGCAGCAGUGGGGAAUAUUGGACAAUGGGCGCAAGCCUGAUCCAGCCAUACCGCGUGGGUGAAGAAGGCCUUCGGGUUGUAAAGCCCUUUUGUUGGGAAAGAAAAGCAGCAGGUUAAUACCCCGCUGUUCUGACGGUACCCAAAGAAUAAGCACCGGCUAACUUCGUG